UACAGAGGUCUCAAGCGUUGUUCGGAUUCAUUGGGCGUAAAGGGUGCGUAGGCGGCGCGGUAAGUCGGGUGUGAAAUCUCGGAGCUUAACUCCGAAACUGCAUUCGAUACUGCCGCGCUUGAGGACUGGAGAGGAGACUGGAAUUUACGGUGUAGCGGUGAAAUGCGUAGAUAUCGUAAGGAAGACCAGUGGCGAAGGCGGGUCUCUGGACAGUUCCUGACGCUGAGGCACGAAGGUCAGGGGAGCAAACGGG
rnacentral:rRNA from 1 species